AUUUGGUUUCCUUUAACAAAAACUCAUGGUCUUCCUGCCAUGGGUUCAUCAUGUUAUUGAAACUCUGAUUUGUUCACCCGAGAUUGGAGUUUCGGGAAGGCUUGAGACCAAUCUCCGUGACGAAUCGAUGGAUCGAGAUGUUUUUGUGUCGAUUCGUUUUAGUUUCUUAUCCCCUAAACUGUUACGGCCAUUAACGACUUUCUCAACUACUUCGACCCACUCCGAGUCCGAUUUGCUCAUUCAAUACAUCUUUCCUCUCUCCAGGUGGUGUAUCUCCAUCUAUUAAAAGAUGAGCAAAAGAAGACUCAAAGCUUACUGCCGCUUCAGAGAAGAAGGAGAUGAAGCAACUUCUAUCCAUUGCUGGAUCAGCUGCUGAGUCUGUGCCGGGUUGGGUCUCCAGUCUCCACCAAAGUUCGUCAAAUUUUGCUCGGUUUCUGGAUUUCACCAUUACCGUUGUUCAUACCCAAAACUUUCCUAUGACAAUCAUCAAGGGUUGGAGAAGACGAGAACCAAAGUGCUGUCCUUACUUCUUGAUGAACGAUUUGUGAGAUUCUUCUAUUGCUUUUAUCGAUUUGACAAAUUUAGAGCCAUCAUGAUGAGAUUCAAGAUGUAUCAAAGCAAGGUGAUUGUGGUUCAGGGCUUCGCGUCAUUGAUAAAUGUACACCGGCUGAACAUCUUCUAACACUUAUUGAGUGAAGGGUCUGUUUAUCACCUGGGUGCUUUUGAUGUAACAAGAAGGAACCGGAACGUCUUUGUGGAGAUAUCUGAAACGGUUCAAACCAAUACCGAUGGAGCACUUCAGGUUUCUGAAUUAUGACCAACUAAUGAUAUUGUUGGGCAAGUAAAGGGGACUAGAGACUCAGAGUACAACUCAUGAUGUUUACCAUAAGCAUCCAAAGUUCAUGAGUGUAGGGAACAUGGGAGAGGUUUGAGGAAGUGGGGAAAGGACACCCGACGUGGCUUAGGGACAAAGAGGACCAAAUGAUGGUGCAUAUUUUCUUUAAUUUUUUCCUAAUUGAAAUCGAUCCUUUGUUAAACUAGAGUCUGUAAAGAUAUUAGUUUUUUUAAAUUUGAUAGUGAUACGAUUUUACA